CGUUCCUGUCCUGGCCUGUCCCCUCCCGGCCGCACCGAGAGGAGCGGGCAGCGUGAACUUUACCCGCGCCUGCAAAAUUGGCCAGAGCCCGAGACCGCGGCCGCUUUGGCCCAAGCCUGACACCCCCCCACACACACCUGGCAGCGGGCCUGGUUUCUUGGCUGCUACUUAGCACCUCUACAGCACUUUUCUUCAAAGCCUUUUGCAGACUUUCUCUAAAGACCCUGCUUUUCACCCCCUUUGGCAAGCCCGAAGGAAGGACUGAUCUUUGUUCAGACUAUCAGUUUUCCUCUGCUCUGUCCACGUUAGCUGGUCCUGACAAGGCCCUGAGGGCAAGAGGUCCAGAUUAUCCCAGUUUUACAGAAUUGAAAGACAAAGGGAGGGGACUGCCCAGGUCUCCUAAAAGUCAGAGGUCAGAGGAAAGUGGCUAUAAGAAGAAGUGAAGUCUCCAAAACUGCCUCCUGUAUACUUAGCCUUUAAAAAGAAAAAAGGAAAGUAUUCAAGUUGUGAGCAAAUCCAACAGUGAGCAGAGUGGCAGAAAGGGUUCGAAAUCGAACUGGUCAUCUCACCACUGACUUCAAAUGGUAGCCUCUGAAGCUGCUUUGGGGACAGAGUCAAGCAGUCCAAACUCCAUUAUCACUUCCUAAGAGAACUUAUAGCUCGAAAUGACCAGUGCAUCAUUUCCAAAGACAGUACCUGAAAGUAUAAACAGCCCAGAAAAGAGGCUCCGUGGACUGCUGGAACGAGAAUUUUAUCAUCUAGCCAGUCCGCAAGGCAUUCGGCAAACGCGGACUGGAUCUCCGGCCGCGCGGAUCAGGUGGAGUUUCGGGGCCCAGGAACUCCAGUGGCUGCGGCCGCCAAGGAAGGGGGCAGGGCUGCCGGGACCCACCGGCUGAAAAUGGCAGAGGAUGUGCUCUUCAUUUUAUCAGGCUACACAGCGUGCUAUGGAUUGGGCCCAAGCCUAAAGGGAUGACCUAUGAAAAUCCCACACAGUCAACUGCAAAAUGUGGAAACAGGGCCUGGAGGCUUUGCUAGGAGAGCGGAACGCACGCAGGGAGGACGGUCCUUCCUGUCAGACCGUUUGUUUCCCCUCAACGUCUGAAAUAACAAAAUUCCUCAAAUCAACAAAAACUGGGGGUCGUCUCUCCAGCCCCGGCCCCCACUCCGUCUUAAACCUAGGGACCCCAGGGCGGGCCGCGUGGAGCUCUGGCUGAGGAGCGGAGCGUCGGCGCGGCUCGGAGCUGUGGCCCCCAGCAGGCUCCCGCCGCGACCCAGAGGCAGACGCCCAGCCGAGCGAGCGCUCCCAAGUGCGAACUGGAGCGGCGAGUUUGAGCAAAAGGGCAACUGUGUCAGUUGACGGAAGCCAGAAGUAGAGUUCAAAGCCUGGCGUGGAUUUCUGUCUGGAGCCGUCUGUUUCUUAAAGUUUGUAACUCCGUGUUAAGAAACAGCGCCAGCGGAGGCUUUGGGAUCAGUGUGAAAGUCUAGCAGUACCAUCUGACAGCGAGCUGCAAAACUUUGGGCUGCAUAUUAAGCGAGGAAAGUGGAUUGAAGCGAGAGUCAAGGGGAUGUAUUUUCUUCCCGGCUCCCAGGCAAGAGCAGUAAAAUACGAACUGGAUUAGCACGGAGAAAAAAUGGAAUGGAGUCCGAAUGGCUCUCAAAAGCUCUUCGCGGUAAAAUUGUGCCUGGCAAGGACCUGGGUACCCAAAAGAGAGAACCAGGAGAUCUCAAGCUUGGUGGACACACAACAGCAGCUUUUCUAGAUCCCUUUUCCGCUGGAAAGCCUUAAUAAACAAUUUAGGAGAAUGUACAUUUGAAGAAAUGCUAAUUUCUGAGUAAGACUUUUUUUUUUCAAAGAAAGCAGCAAUGAAAAAAUAGCUAUAGGCAUAAGUCAUCUAGCUAAUCUUGUACCGAUAUAAAAUAAGAAUUAUUCUCAUCACCACCUCCCCUACAACUAAAAUAAAAUAAGUAAGGUUCAGUGGUAGAGCGUUCCUUUAGGAUCCACGGGUCCCUGGGUUUGAUCCCGGUCCUGCAAAAGUAAAAGAAAGGUUCAACCGUGUCUGAUUUGUGGCAGGCUUUAAAUAAAAUACAACACCCAGGGUCAAUCUAACAAAAGGAAUAAGUGCCUCGUCUCUCACACUCUAAUACUGUGGUACAAUCUCUGCAUUCACUCAGUUCACUGGUGAGCCUUUUUUUUUUUUUUUGAGAAAACAAUAUAAUUGCUAACAUUUAAAAAUAGAAAACAAGUAUGGGACUGGAGCUUCUAAAACCACUGGACAAAUCAGGAUUUUGGAUUUCUCAUUUCUGAUGAGUCU
rnacentral:lncRNA from 1 species